UACGUAGGGCGCAAGCGUUGUCCGGAAUUAUGGUGCGUAAAGAGCUCGUAGGCGGCUUGUCACGCGGGUGUGAAAGCCCGGGCUUAACCCGGUCGUGCAUCGAUACGGCUAGCUAGAGUGAUGGUAGGGGAGAGUACGGUCGAAUUCCUGGUGUAGGCGGUAGAAAUGCGCAGAUAUCUGGAGGAACACCGGUGGCGAGGCGACUACCUGGCCUGUUCUUGACGCUGAGGCGCGAAAGCUAGGGAGCAAACGGG
rnacentral:rRNA from 1 species